rnacentral:rRNA from 1 species
UACGUAGGGUGCAAGCGUUGUCCGGAAUUACUGGGCGUAAAGGGCGCGUAGGCGGUUUCGUAAGUCCCGUGUGAAAGCCCCCGGCUCAACUGGGGAAUUGCACGGGAAACUGCGAGGCUUGAGUUCGGGAGAGGAUGGUGGAAUUCCCAGUGUAGAGGUGAAAUUCGUAGAUAUUGGGAAGAACACCGAUGGCGAAGGCAGCCAUCUGGACCGACACUGACGCUGAGGCGCGAAAGCGUGGGGAGCAAACAGG